UCCUUCAUGCUAUUGAAAAAUGCACUGAGGGGAAAAGCUUUUCUGAAUGGAAAACUAAAUUGCCAUCUGAGCUUGUCCAGAAACUGGAUGGUAAGAAGAAAGGCUAUCCUGAGAACACACUGGGAUUGCUGCGUUUCAUACGCAACCUACACGAGCAUUAUCCAGAUGACGCAGAGAGCAUCAACCUGAUGGAUUCAUUCCCUGAUCUCUUUGGGAGUGUGUUCAGG